rnacentral:pre_miRNA from 1 species
AUAUGAAUCACCUGGGAUCUUGUUUAAAUACAGAUUCUCAUUUUUCAGGUGGGGCCUGAGAUUCUUCAUUUCUAACAAGCUGUCAGGUGAUGCCAAU